rnacentral:rRNA from 1 species
UGACGGUACCUAAGGAGGAAGCCACGGCUAACUACGUGCCAGCAGCCGCGGUAAUACGUAGGUGGCAAGCGUUGUCCGGAUUUAUUGGGCGUAAAGCGAGCGCAGGCGGUUUAAUAAGUCUGAAGUUAAAGGCAGUGGCUUAACCAUUGUUCGCUUUGGAAACUGUUAGACUUGAGUGCAGAAGGGGAGAGUGGAAUUCCAUGUGUAGCGGUGAAAUGCGUAGAUAUAUGGAGGAACACCGGUGGCGAAAGCGGCUCUCUGGUCUGUAACUGACGCUGAGGCUCGAAAGCGUGGGGAGCAAACAGGAUUAGAUACCCUG